rnacentral:rRNA from 1 species
GACGAACGCUGGCGGCGUGCCUAAUACAUGCAAGUCGAACGCAGUGGGGACGGGUGCGUAACACGUGGGUCACCUCCCAUCAGAGGGGAUAACCCUUGGAAACAGCCGCUAACCCGAUAUUGGUGGAUGGACCCGCGGUGCAUUAGCUAGGUGGUGAGGUAACGGCUCACCAAGGCGACGAGGCAUAGCCGGCCUGAGAGGGUGAUCGGCCACACUGGGACUGAGACACGGCCCAGACUCCUACGGGAGGCAGCAGUAGGGAAUCUUCGGCAAUGGGCGAAAGUCUGACCGAGCCACGCCGCGUGGGUGAAGAAGGUUUUCGGAUCGUAAAACUCUGUUGUUGGGGAAGCGGUAUCUAACCAGAAAGCAACGGCUAACUACGUGCCAGCAGCCGCGGUAAUUC